ensembl:lncRNA
CGAACCAAUCCCCUCCAUUUAAGCUAACAGCUUUAGGCUCACCUAAAUUGAUGUUUAUUCAUCUAUAGCUUUUCUCAUAAUAUUUCUAUGGGGAUUCAGUAAUAUUGUAUUUGUAAAGCAUCCUCCACAGUAUCUAAAACCUAAUAGAUGCUUUUCCCCUGCAUCUACUGCAUCUUUGAAACUGAUAUCCAGUGUGACUUUUUUUACCCAAUUUCUGGUAUUGAUCCAUGACACUCAGCUGUCUCACCUGGCUCCACACAAACCUUAGCCUUGCCUAAACCUCCAGGCCCUCCCUUCCAGAGUCUUCUUCCUUCUAAGACACCUAGCCUGCCUGGACAUGUACCUUCUGAGCAUGCUACAGUCACUGUCAUGUAUUCUCUUCCUUCUCCCCUCUCCUCCUCUCUGUCAAGUUCUGUGCUGACCUCAGGCCCCCACACCAUAGGCUAGAAAAUGAGGCCAAAUGAGUUUAAUGCAUGAUGGUGACUCAUUUGUUUUCUCCAGUGUUCACGACACAGGAGUUUCCCCCUCUCCGCACAGGGAAAGCAAGUGUCUCUUACAGAUGACUCAUGCUGGCUCCCAUCUCUCCCUCCCGCUCCCCUGGACUGGAGGAGGAAAAGGACAAGGAGUAGCAGCCACCUCCUCACCCCUCCCUCCCGCAGCAAAGUGAAUCAGAGACUCAGCAAACAGCUGGAUAAUAUAAGGAAACUGACAUCCACAGACGUUAAAUAAACUUCCCAAGAUUACACAUUAUGUAAAAGAUGGAGCCAGGAUUCAGUCCCAGACAGAUGAAAAGGUGACAGUCGAAGCCAAUCAUUGAACAGCUGAGUUAAGAAGCAGAGGAAUGAGUGAGCGCCCUGAAGGUUCCUGUGGAGUUCGUGGAGUGUGGAAUACAGGCAAGUGGUACAGAGCAGCCCCUCUGGUCUGAGGCCUACUUCCUCCGCUGCUAGGAUGUGUGCUUGGGCAAGUAAACAACACUGUGCUCCAGCUUCCUCACCUGUAAAACAAGGAUUAUAAGCGUGCCCACACCCAGGGCUGGUGGCCACGGAUACACACCGUGGGGAGUAGCAGUGCUUUACAGCUGAUGUCCAUUCUGACUCGACGGUCACCAAUCAUGACCAUGCCAGCUCCUCUCCCACUACUCAUUCCGUGUGAGUCUACAGUGUCUGCAAGCACAGUUUGCUGCCCUCCAGCUACAUUACCCAGAUGCAACAAAUCACGGUGCUCAACAAUGUUUGUUAACCGACUGUCUCACGUUCGGAUGUACAUAAUUUCUAAAGGGAAUACUGAAAAUUGGAUACAGGACGUGAAACACAGUGGUGGCAGAUAUUUCCAUCCCUAUUAUUCACUACUCUAUCUUCAGGAUCUGGCACAGAUAAAUAUCAAGCGUCUAAAAAAAUAUGAAAAGAACUUCCAGCUUUCUUUACCAUAGCACCAGGGACAAUGUCUCUGCUUUUCGGCUCCCAUUUUGUUGGGCAUAGUAUUCUUUUUCCAGUGGACAUUUCAGACCAUGAGACUAGAAGAACACCUGUGCUCAAGAGAGUUGGCGAGGAAGAUGAGUGGCACACGGCUUAUCCGGGCUCCGUCUUGAUGGCUCUGGGUGCUAGCUACAACAGACCACAGCUCCAUGCAGACCUAUGAGCACCUAAUCAGAGCCACACACGCCAUGGGCCAGUGAAAACUUCUCAGAAGAGAUUGGUUCCAGAAGCAACUUAACUUCCCCAUUGAUUACUGACUAGAAUGGACCAUCCUAGUCCACAAAAGAUGAAUCUGAAAAAUCUCCAGGUAUAGCGAGGGGAGUGCAAAUCAAUGAGGCCCUGGUGGCAACAUGGAACGAACAUAGUCCUUACACCAGGCAGCUCUGCCACCUGACUUUUGCUGUACUGGAUCCAGAUGUUCUGAUUUUUUCAAGAAAAGCCAGACUUCAGAUUUCAUGUGAAAUCUCUCAAAUGCAAAAAGUUGGCCUCUAACUCAAAUUUAAAACAACCACGACCAUACGCUGUGAGCCAAACAAAACAGCUUCUAACCACACUCAGCUGGGAUUCAACCCCUGCCUUACAGGCUGGGGAAAACUAAAUCCAAUUCUGAGAAGAGUAAACCAAAAUAACCAGACUUCUGCCUUCCUUAAUCUCCUGUUAAAUUCCUUCCUUCCAGAAAACAGUCUUCAUGCACGGGUCAGAAAGCUCGGCCGUCAUGUACUCAGAUUCCCUCAUCUUCAAACUCAGCAUCAGAGUGAGCAUGUUCCAUCUCGCAACUUGCUGGGCAGGGCCAGGGGAGGUUUGCUCACCCUUAGCAGGCCCUAAGUGUCCUUGGCAUCUGCAAUGGGGUUCUGUCCUUGAUGCCUGGCCUGAAUACAGUUGCAGCCCAGCUCGCC